GGGACCCCGAGUGCGCAGGCAUAGUGCCUGUGCUUUUGGUGACCGUAGGGAGGUCACCGAAUAAGAGCUGGGCAAGACCGGUGCCAGCCGCCGCGGUAAUACCGGCAGCUCGAGUGAUGACCGAUUUUAUUGGGCCUAAAGCGUUCGUAGCCGGCCUGUCAAGUCCGUCGGGAAAUCCACGCGCUCAACGCGUGGGCGUCCGGCGGAACCUGAGAGGCUUGGGACCGGAAGGCGCGACGGGUACGUCCAGGGUAGGAGUGAAAUCCCGUAAUCCUGGACGGACCGCCGAUGGGGAAACCACGUCGCGAGGACGGAUCCGACGGUGAGGGACGAAAGCUAGGGUCUCGAACCGGAUUAGAUACCCGGGUAGUCCUAGCCGUAAACGAUGCCUGUUAGGUGUGGCCCCCGCUACGAGCGGGUGCUGUGCCGUAGGGAAGCCGCUAAACAGGCCGCCUGGGAAGUACGUCCGCAAGGAUGAAACUUAAAGGAAUUGGCGGGGGAGCACUACAACCGGAGGAGCCUGCGGUUUAAUUGGACUCAACGCCGGACAUCUCACCAGCAUCGACUGUAGUAAUGACGGUCAGGUUGAUGACCUCGCCACGAGCUACAGAGA
rnacentral:rRNA from 1 species